rnacentral:pre_miRNA from 1 species
UUGUUACUCCCUCCGUCCGGAAUUACUUGUCAUCAAAAUGGAUGAAAAUGGAUGUAUCUAGAACUAAAGUACAUCUAGAUACAUCCAUUUGAAUGACAAGUAUUUCCGGACGGAGGGAGUAUUAA